rnacentral:tRNA from 7 species
GAAAUCGGUAGACGCUACGGACUUAAAAUCCGUUGGCUUUUUAGACCGUGAGGGUUCAAGUCCCUCUACCCCCA